rnacentral:rRNA from 1 species
AUUGAACGCUAGCGGCAGGCUUAACACAUGCAAGUCGAGCGGGGUGAUGGUGCUUGCACUAUCACUUAGCGGCGGACGGGUGAGUAAUGCUUAGGAAUCUGCCUAUUAGUGGGGGACAACAUCUCGAAAGGGAUGCUAAUACCGCAUACGUCCUACGGGAGAAAGCAGGGGAUCACUUGUGACCUUGUGCUAAUAGAUGAGCCUAAGUCGGAUUAGCUAGUUGGUGGGGUAAAGGCCUACCAAGGCGACGAUCUGUAGCGGGUCUGGGAGGAUGAGCCGCCACACUGGGACUGAGACACGGCCCAGACUCCUACGGGAGGCAGCAGUGGGGAAUAUUGGACAAUGGGGGGAACCCUGAUCCAGCCAUGCCGCGUGUGUGAAGAAGGCCUUAUGGUUGUAAAGCACUUUAAGCGAGGAGGAGGCUUACCUAGUUAAUACCUGGGAUAAGUGGACGUUACUCGCAGAAUAAGCACCGGCUAACUCUGUGCCAGCCGCCGCCGUAA